GAUGAAGAACGUAGCGAAAUGCGAUACUUGGUGUGAAUUGCAGAAUCCCGUGAACCAUCGAGUCUUUGCACGCAAGUUGCGCCCGAAGCCACUAGGCCGAGGGCACGCCUGCCUGGGCGUCACACGUCGUUGCCCCCCCCCCAUCUACUCCUUCGGGAUUGCGGGGGGCGGAUGAUGGCCUCCCGUGCGCCUAGCCGCGCGGUUGGCAUAAAUACCAAGUCCUCGGCGACGCACGCCACGACAAUCGGUGGUUGCGAAACCUCGGUUGCCCGUCGUGUGCGUUCGUCUCGCAUCGAGGGCUCGAAAAAAUGCUCGGCUCCGGCUCGGCUUUCAACGCGACCCCAGGUCAGGCGGGGUUACCCGCUGAAUUUAAGCAUAUCAAUAAGCGGAGGA
rnacentral:misc_RNA from 1 species